AAGGUUUUAAGUUAAAAAAACUAAUAAUCUUCAAAAUUAUUUUUAAAGAAUUAUUCUUUAAGCCUUA
rnacentral:tRNA from 1 species